UUCUCUUUCUACAUAAACGCUUACUAAUUCCAAGGAUAAAUAAUUUAUGUUAAAACAAUGUGCUGAUAAAAUAAUUCAAUUCAACUAAAGCGUUAAAUUUAAAUACUUACUUCCGGCACUGUAUCUAGCGGUACACGUGACUAAUGCUCGGUGCCGCGCGUUUCACUGUAGUGGUGCAAGCGCGCAAGCUGUUGGCGUAUACGUUCGGCCCAAAACACGGGGGUUCGUCGGGUUCGGCUGCCUUCCCGAGCGUUUAUUCGUAAACAAACCACCGGCGUGCGUGGACUGUGGCGCGUAACCACGGAGCUUGCGCCCGUCGGCGGCGUGGCUUCGGUGGGACCACUGGCCAUGGUCCCACCGGCGGUACCCUUGCCUUGCAGUCCGCUGAUCAGUAUCUCGUCCACGAGGCGCGGUGCGUUAUUGUGCUACGAAAAAAGUUACGGAAAGUUGAAAACAAAAAAAAAAACAAAACAGCAACAUACUUCACAUCGCCUUCGUUUUAUCGCUUCCUAUCGAUAGUUUUAGCAAGUAAAUCAGAAGCUGGAAAAAUAGUGCUGGUGGGGUUUCGAAUUAAUUUAAGACAGAGCAAUAUACGUGUUGCAUUUACAGUGUAAGAAUACAUUUACUUCUGAAGCCUGUUCUGUUUGGUGCACCUUCACGCAACCAGCUUUGCUUUCUUUCCCCGUCUGAAACUAUACCAAGUGUGUGAAAAGCAAGUGUCAGAGGAGCCCACACACCCGUUUACACCGGUGAUGCAUCCUUGGUGUAUGUUUCCACCUGCGCGGAACGGUGCAAUGUGCACCAGAAGAAACAACCCAACAUGAUUAACGUGUGAAUGGUUCUGCGAGCAUACGGCUAACACAUUGUAGUCGGUUUCGGGCGUAUUAAUCGAUCGUACCGCGAUCGGAUGUGCGAAUUCGUGUACACUCAUGUGCUGCUGCGUGUCUUGCGGAGCUGAAAUUAAAAUCGCCAUCAUCAUCUCAAGAUCCGCGGGGUGCAAAAGGGAGAGGAGUAAGCCCUCGAAGGCAUGAAGCGGAUGUACAUCGUUAAUUUGGGAUAUUUUCGCCGUUCUGAAAAAAGAUAUCGCUUUGUGGCAGCUACUAGCAACAGGAUCGUAAUCGAUUAUUUGCGGUGCCAGCUACACGGCGUGUAUCACCCCAAGGCCUGUUUGGUGCUAUUCGGCUGGCCAGUUGGAGCCGCCCGCAACCUUACCCCAAACCUGGAGCCCACCAUAGGAAAAAAGGGAACCGUAAACCGGGAUUGAGUUUGGUUGCGGACGGAUCGAACUAGCAGACUGACUGACGGACUGGAUGGAUCUGGAAUCUCGGAAUGGUCGCAGCGUGGAAAGCGAUCGCAUUCUGGUCGCACUGAACUCUGAACGCUGAACGCUCAACGUAUGAUGGUUGCGGAACCGUGGUAGACGACACAACAACAGGCGACGUGUAAUGCUGCAAAUCAAUCCGUGUCGAGGCUCAUUGGGUUGAAGUUUCAACUACGGAUCGAUACGGCCGCACACUGGCUCCUUCAGCACAACACACACAAACACGCUCUAUUUUACUAAACUAGAAGCUAUUUAACUUCACCAUCGUAUCACACUGAUUCUUUAUGCCAGUUAUCGCCCAUCCGCGUGGUUAACGAUAGCAAAACAGUAUGCGAGGAUUGUUUUGGUACGUUAAACACCGACAUGGACGAUGACACAGCGAAGGGCAAGGCGUGUGUUUUAACAUCAGCAAAAGGUGUAGACAUUUUAGUUUUUAAACAUCUCCUACUAAUACCCCAAACAUUGCUAAUUGCUUAGGAUUGUGCGAUGAGGAAAAUGAAUCCGCUUUUAGCUUAUCCCUUUUUCAUGUAGCUCCAAACACCGUAUCCAUUGCAAAGAAACCGAACACCAACACAGGAGGUCGGAAAAGGGAAAACCUAAGACGAGGUGCUUCAAAUUUUCGAACAUUACAAAUCUUUUACAAUUACCAAUGAAAAAGGUGUAUGUUUUUUUAUUCUCAAGGAUUAUGAAAUGAAAAAGUUUGGCUUGAUGUAGGGCGAAGUUGUAUAGCAUGAUACGGUUAGCAUCAGUAAGCUAACAUUCGUUGCGAUCCACCUGCGCAAAAGAUGCGCGAGAAAACACACGUGUUAUUCAAUUGCGUGUUUUUAUUUUUCAAGUUUUCGCGCAAAUUGAUGGCGCUUUUGCGAGAUAUGAUAGAUAAGCGAGGAACAAAAAAUCACAUUACAUUUGAUGCGAGGAAAAUAAAUUAUAUACAUUUGUUUUAGUUAUUGGCAAUCUUUUGCUUCUUUUAUUUUUGCGCAGAUCCACUCACAGGAUCCAUUAUACUAUACUGCUUGCUAAAUAACUAUACUAAUAGGUUUCGGUCUGACACCGGUUGAGAAGACACCGGGGUUAAAGACACACAUUGUUGCACCAAAACGAAAGGUGACUAAAUGAUCGUUUUACUGUUUGCUAACAGCAACUACAAAUUAGAUGAUAGAGAAAAGGCAAUGCAGCGCAGGCAAAGCAUGUGAAGCAGUUGAUAAUAAUGAGGAGAGGAGCACAAUUACAGUGCAGUUGAGACAACACAAAAUGAUAAAUGGAAAGAAUUUCAAACCCCGCAUUUAGCAUGUAAGUGAACAAUCAAAAGUAGAAAAAGAUGUGAAGUAUACACGAAGAGCAAAUAAAAAUAUAUAACUUUACAAAA